rnacentral:rRNA from 1 species
UUUCCUACGGGGGGCUGCAGUGGGGAAUAUUGGACAAUGGGCGAAAGCCUGAUCCAGCCAUGCCGCGUGUGUGAAGAAGGUCUUCGGAUUGUAAAGCACUUUAAGUUGGGAGGAAGGGCAGUAAGCUAAUACCUUGCUGUUUUGACGUUACCAACAGAAUAAGCACCGGCUAACUCUGUGCCAGCAGCCGCGGUAAUACAGAGGGUGCAAGCGUUAAUCGGAAUUACUGGGCGUAAAGCGCGCGUAGGUGGUUCAGCAAGUUGGAUGUGAAAUCCCCGGGCUCAACCUGGGAACUGCAUCCAAAACUACUGAGCUAGAGUACGGUAGAGGGUGGUGGAAUUUCCUGUGUAGCGGUGAAAUGCGUAGAUAUAGGAAGGAACACCAGUGGCGAAGGCGACCACCUGGACUGAUACUGACACUGAGGUGCGAAAGCGUGGGGAGCAAACAGGAUUAGAUACCCCAGUAGUCA